UACGUAGGGCGCGAGCGUUGUCCGGAAUUAUUGGGCGUAAAGAGCUCGUAGGCGGUCUGUCGCGUCUGCUGUGAAAUCCCGAGGCUCAACCUCGGGCUUGCAGUGGGUACGGGCAGGCUAGAGUGCGGUAGGGGAGAAUGGAACUCCUGGUGUAGCGGUGGAAUGCGCAGAUAUCAGGAAGAACACCGAUGGCGAAGGCAGUUCUCUGGGCCGUAACUGAGGCUGAGGAGCGAAAGCGUGGGGAGCGAACAGG
rnacentral:rRNA from 1 species